ensembl:lncRNA
CAACACCACGCCCCUCGCCAAAUAAAAGCACACAGAAGCAGAGGGAUGGCAAGCAUCAUUCAUUCCACAAAUAAUAAUUGAGUCUCCCCAUCCCUGGUAGCUCAGCUGGUAAAGAAUCUGCCUGCAAUGCUGGAGACCUGGGUUCAGUCCCUGGGUUGGGAAGAUCCCCUGGAGAAGGGCAUGGCAACCCACUCCAGUAUUCUUCAACCCACUUCAGUAUUCUUGUCUGGAGAAUCCCUUUGGACAGAGAUGCCUGGUGGGCUACAGUCCAUGGGGUGGUGUGGGGUGGGGGGUGUCACAAAGAGUCAGGCACAACUGAGCGACUAUGCAGAGCCCCCCACCCUGUUACCGGGUGCCCUGCUUGGCCUGGGCAAGCUGUGAACCAGGCAGACGCUGUCUCUGCCCUAAGAGAGCUUAUGGGCCCCUGUACUUCCCAGCAUGAUCAAAUCUCCUGUGUGUAUGAACCAGCUUCUGGAAGGCAAGUAUCCCUUGGACAGGCUCCAACAGGUCACCUGGGCCAAAGUCAGAAGGACUCUCUGAAGCCUGCACCUGCCUGAGAUGAAGGACAGAUAAGGAGCUGUCUGGAUUUACAGAGCAUCAGAGCUCAGGCCCUGGAGCUCCUCUCCCCCUACCUCUCCACUUUACAGGAGAGAAGACAGGCCAAGACGGAGGUCACAGAGCAGGCAGGGCUGUGAGAUGCCCCCGGCAGGCAGCUUCUCUGAGAUGCUCUCCCAGGGCAGUCUGGUCAAGGGCAGGCUGAGCUCAGUGGCCAUCACUGACCUUGCUGGUUAGGAAGCCCUCGAGACUCUUGGUAGGUGUGGCCUCUCCGACAGCAGAGGGCAGGUGUUUCUGGAGUGGGACAGGUGCUCCCACUUCAGGUUUCUUGUAUUAGUACCCUGUCAUUCUCCUCUGGGCCCCGUGGUCAUCAGCAGCUGAGCCGUGCCCAUGUCUGAGCCAGACUGAGGUGCCCUGGAUUGGAACAGCCCUGAUUACAGCCUUCAUCCCGGCAGCCAGCUGGGCCAGAGGUUUAGAGAAAGGAGAGCUCUCCUCAGUGGGUCUUGGCCUGAUGCAGAGGGGCCUCCAAUCUGUAGCUGGGCAAGUCCAGUUCUAAUGGCCACCCCUUGGUGGUGGUCAGCGUAAGGGGAUCCAGAACAGGAGAUCAGGGAUGGGGAGCUGUACCUGCUUUUCCACCAAUUUCCUCUAAGCCUUUUGGAAAAGCUUCUCUCCGUUCUUGGAUUCAGUUUCCCUUCCUGAGCCUUGGGGCUAACCAUCCCUCCCCACCCACCGGCCCCAGCUGGAACAGUAGCUAGGAUCCAUCAUAUUCUUUUUUGUCAGGCCUGUCCCUACCAAAUUCAUCCCCAGGAGGGACAGCCCCGUCCCUGCCCUCAACGCCCCCACCCCGCAGUUCUCUGCAAUGUCAUCUCUGAAGUUCCCCAAAUAGGGUUUCCUGCUGCCAGGAAAACCAGCGUGGACAGGCUGAGAAGCGUGAACCCAUACAGCGAUGCCACAGCCUGUCUCUGGAGCCCUUAUCUCCAGACCCAGCUGGGAACUUGAUGUAUUUAUUAGCUUCUCCCAGGACCUCCUCUGUCCAACCCACAUCUUUGUUGGUACUGCAAGAAAGUGACCUUCCUGCAGAUAGCUGUGUCUGGGCGGGGGGGAAGCUGUAGUAAAUCCAUCCAGCCUGCAGCCUGCAGGGUGACCCCAUCGGGGUAGAGGAGAUGGCGGAGGAGGCUUGAAGAGAUGCGGACAGAGGUACUAGUCGACGGAGCUGGGAACAGAGUUGCCCAAAUCCUAAUGAACUGGAACCAGAAGAGAGGAAGGGGAGAGAGCAGACUUGACAAGGGCACUGUCACCGUGGGCCCAGGGCCACCCACCCCCUGCCUUCUCCUUGGUUGGUCUGCUUUACUCUACAAUCAGUCUGCUGUGGUGUCGGCCAGAGCUUCAUGGCUGGAGAACUCCAGGAGAACUCCAGAAAGAAAGCCCUCAGAUAAACCCUACCCCCAGGCCCUCUGCAUUUUGUCUGCACAAAGAACGCAGUUUUAGACAAUCAGACAUGCGACACUGGAUUUUGGAAUAUUUCCGGUCACAAUUGUUUGGCUGGAUAGCUUUGUGGAAAUUUUCUGUGGUUUGCUAGCUAGCUUUUG